UGGGGAAUUUUGGACAAUGGGCGAAAGCCUGAUCCAGCAAUGCCGCGUGUGUGAAGAAGGCCUUCGGGUUGUAAAGCACUUUUGUCCGGAAAGAAAUCCUUGGCUCUAAUACAGUCGGGGGAUGACGGUACCGGAAGAAUAAGCACCGGCUAACUACGUGCCAGCAGCCGCGGUAAUACGUAGGGUGCAAGCGUUAAUCGGAAUUACUGGGCGUAAAGCGUGCGCGGGCGGUUUGCUAAGACCGAUGUGAAAUCCCCGGGCUCAACCUGGGAACUGCAUUGGUGACUGGCAGGCUAGAGUAUGGCAGAGGGGGGUAGAAUUCCACGUGUAGCAGUGAAAUGCGUAGAGAUGUGGAGGAAUACCGAUGGCGAAGGCAGCCCCCUGGGCCAAGUACUGACGCUCAUGCACGAAAGCGUGGGGAGCAAACAGGAUUAGAUACCCUGGUAGUCCACGCCCUAAACGAUGUCAACUAGUUGUUGGGGAUUCAUUUCCUUAGUAACGUAGCUAACGCGUGAAGUUGACCGCCUGGGGAGUACGGUCGCAAGAUUAAAACUUAAAUGAAUUGACGGGGUCAUAGCUGUUUCCU
rnacentral:rRNA from 1 species